ensembl:lncRNA
GCGGGAUCCCAUGUAUUCUUCAUGGAUAAGACAAUCCUAUAUUGCACUGGAGCAAGCUCAAAAGAAGAGGAGAAAAAAAAACACAAAGUCACAUGCAUUACUGUUAUGAUAGCAUUAUGGUGUUAUUUAUAGUAAUCACUAUGAACUCUUGUCACAUGGAAAAGAGCAUUUUGAAAAACUGCAUUUGGAUUUGCACUGUGAUUUUCAUAUUUUUGGGUGAACUGUUCCUUUAAUAUUGGAACAUUAACUGAGGUAAAAAAAUGGUGAAAGUCUCCCAGUUUCCGUGGAGUUUUCUGCAGUGCUGUGAUCAUGUGUGAAUUGUCUCUAACUUGAGCUUGGGAGUGAAGUUAUAUUUCACCAGUGAGUUCAUGUGAGCAGCUCCACCCUCUGUUAUACUGUUUAUGAAAAGACACCCAAAACCAGCAGCAAUACGAGCCAUUUCUGCAGUGAUGCAACACUGUCAAGUGACACAGCAGACGCAGGAGACACCCAGUGAGAUGAUACGCUACGGCCUUGUUAUUGUUGUUGUGAACUGUAAGGUUUCGACGUUCUCAUUGAUUCCAACCUCAAACCGUGGCUCUUGGAAGUGAACUUCUCUCCCUCACUGGCAUGCGUCAGAGGCUGCCAUCCGCCAACAGUGCCGACCCAGAAGCUCAGAGAGAGAAAACUGGUGCUAAGCAAGCAGAGAGUACACGGAGUCUCACAGCAGAAGAGGUCAGUCUUUCUGAGUCUACAGCUGAUAGGCUUUUCAUGACUUCAGCCAAAUUUAUCUGAAGAUAGCAGGCUGAUGUGUGCUCUUUGUUCUUGGCUGCUCCUGACAUGUUUGAUAUUGAAGAACGUGAAAAGUUGUUUUUGAAAGAAGUCUCUUCUGCUCAGCAAGGCUGCUUUUAUUUGAUGAAAAAUAUGGUAAGAACAGCAAUAUUGUAAAAUAUUACAAUUUUAAAUUUUAUUUUGUAAUAUAUUUUCAAAUGUAAUUUUCCUUGUGAUACAAAGCUGAAUUUUCAGCAGCCAUUACUUCAGUCUUCAGUGUCACAUGAUGUUUGAGGGAAGAAAGAUAAAAUAGAGAUUAACACUUUUAUUAAGCAAGGAUGCAUUAAAUUGAUCAAAAGUGCCAUUUUGAACUUUCUGUUCAUCUGUGAAUCCUGAAAAAUAAAAAGUAUCACGGCUUCCACAAAAAUAAUGUGCAGCACAACUGUUUUCAACAUUGAUAAUAAUCAGAAAUGUUUCUUGAGCAGCAAAUCAUCAUAUUAGAAUGAUUUCUGAAGAUCAUGUGACACUGAAGACUGGAGUAAUGAUGCUGAAAAUACAGCUGCGCAUCACAGAAAUAAAUUACACUUUAACAGAGAUUCACACAGAAAACAGCGGUUUUAAAUUGUAAUAAUAUUUCUCAAUUUAUACUGUAUGUUUGAUCAAAUUAGCCUUUCUGAGCAGAAGAGACUUCUUUAAAAAAAAACAUUAAAAUCUUAAUUAUUCCAAACUUUUGACCAUGUUCUCUAAAUAUAAUGAAUGCAUAAUAUUAUUUACAGCUAUAUAAUUAUUGGUGUUAUUCAACAAAAUACAUGGAGCCGUUUUGGAAUUUUGCUAAUUUAAUACUACAGUCCACACUGCAGCUAAAUACAGUCGUUACUCAUUUACUUUUGCACACUGACACAUUGUUUGAGAAAUGUGCUCUGACUCAUUCUCAAACUUUGAUACAGUCUUUCUCGACUUCAUUUUCUCCUGUCAUCCCUGUGGUCUAGCAGCAGAUGAGAGAGCAUGCGGUUUAUUGAGCAGAAAUAAAACACAGAGCUUCUGCUGAUGGUGGUUUGAGAAAACUCUUGUCUGUGAUUGGUGAUUACUUUUGUGAAAAAAAUCACUAAUAGGUUUAAACUUAAUUAGAUGGUUUGAACUGUAAGCAUCACAAUGUCAACCAUUUGUACACGCAUUAAGUUGUAAUUUAGGACAUUCACUUCUGUGUUUAAAUGAUUCCCAAAAUUGUGGUAUGUGUGUGCUGUCAGAGUCAGCUUAAGAUUGGACAUUUCUUUUUCUGAAACCCUGAGAUCACCUACGGUAUAAGGACGAAUCACCUGUAACUGAUCAUCAGCUGCAAAACUAAAUCAGACGCUGCAAUCAUGUCUAAUGAGUGAAAGCAACAAAACUCUAAAACAGAAAAUAUACAAAUAUUCUUUGUUUUUGUUUUGUCCAUGUUACAUCCAAAAGCUUUGACCUCUGAGAGACUGUGUUGAGGUAGGAAAAUGAAAAAUAAAAAAACGCUCAAAUUUAGUGCAAACCAUCUAAACUAAGAGUGUGUGCAGGUAAACCCAAUGCUUUAGUUAAAGGGGUCAUGAACUGCAUUUUUUAAAUGAUUUUAUAAUGUUCUCUGAGGUCCACUUUUAAAGUUAGCAAGUAUUUUACCUUAAACAAUUUAAUCUAUGUUGUUUUUGAGCCUCUCUGCAGAACGGUCUGUUUUUUAUAGGCGGGAAGCAUUCAGGACUCACAAGUAAACGGCCACGGCUAUGAUUUGCUAACAGUUUAGCUUAUUAAUAUAACAGAUAGAUGCUGCUGUGACGUUCUCUGAAAACAAUAUGGCUCAUUUGGGUUAAAAACAUGUAAAUACUCAGUAUAUAUCAAACAGUCUGGAACAGACAAUGCAAUCAUGUUAAAAGCACGUUUACUGUGACAUUGGAACCAUUAUAGUCAGAUUCGGCACUUCUUCCUCUUAUGUUCAGACUCUCUGAAAAGCCUGCGUCGAACUGCCUUGUUUAAAAAGGAAUCCACAGUAAAUUAAAGCCAACAAACAAAUGAUGUUUCAGUGAUGCGAUCUGGAGCUAUUUUUUUUGUCUAUACUGGAUGCGAGUGGCGCAACGUGACUAAAGACAACAACAGAACCCAUUAUAAUCACAGAUUCUGGCAUGGAUUGACACGACAGAUCCCUGACAGUAAACUGAUGUCCUGCUCUAUUUCUGACAUACUCCAGGUGCUCAUGCCACUUUUGACAUGAAAGAGAAAUGGAUUCGCAACACAAUGCAACAACUCUCAUGUCUGAUGUAGAUUCGGAGUUAGAACAGUUUUUUCAAAACUCAGACUACACAGCAUCUUGUAAUCCUUUGAGGUUCUGUUGAUGGAGUAAUCCUGUGUUUGCGUCUCUCCUCUACUACGAGCUUGUAUCAGUGGGCGGGGCUAAAGAGGUAGUGAUGUAGAAGCAGGUGUUGAUCUUCUCCUGUGGAGGCGGGGCUUAGCCACACUAUUACAUCAUAAAGUGGCACAUUCCACAACGAGUCAUUUUCUGAGUUUGGUUUCAAUAAAAACUGUUUUUAAACUAACGAGAAGGUUUCAAGCUCUGAAACUUACAGAAUGUUUUUAUAGUAAAAUGAACUGUUAUAUGUCAAAAGAUCAAGGAAAUUUGAUUUCCCAGUUCAGGGCCCCUUUAACCUUUCAAAGGGCAAGACCACAAAGAGACAUCAGAAAAUUAAUUUAUUGCUAUUUUUCCAUUUUACUGGGAGUCAAAUAAUACAAUUUCAUGAUUUUAUUCAAAACUUGAUUCUUAUUUUUGAUUUUGAUUUGCCACUUUGUGGUUAUAAAUUCACUUAAAACAGAACACUUGUUUAUCAAUUAUUGUAACAACAUUUUAAACAAAUGGUUGUAAUUCCUGAACACUUUGGAAUAAGUUGGUCUCAUUUUAAAGAUGACACAUAGCAGAUUAUU